CGCACGGCGGACCGGGCGGCGCUCGCCAUCGAGAAGCACCCCAACGUGAGCCUGAGGUGGUUCCAGCCGGUGCAGGCCGGCAAGUCCCCCCCGAGCCCCCCCCGGCUGUACUACCCCAACGAGGGCUACAGCGAGGUGGGCGAGGUGCCGCCCCCGCCGCCGCCGCCCCCGCCGCCGCCGCCGCCCCCCGCGCCCCCC